CCCCCCUCGGGGUUUUCCGGGCUGACGGAAGAGGAGCUGCGGGCCAUGGAAGGCCACGAACGGCAACACUUGGAGGCCCGGCUGCAGUGCCUGCAGAACAUCCACACCCUCCUGGACGCGGCCAUGCUCCAGAUCAACCAGUAUCUCACUGUGCUGUCUACGAUUGGGUGAGCCUCCUCCCCCUUUCCCCCCCUCUCCCCUCUCCCCUCCCCUUUUUCCCUUCCUUCCCUCCUUCCUUCCUUCCUUCCUUCUCUUCCUUCUCUUCCUUCCCCCUCCCUUUGUCUCUGUUUUCCCUCUCCCCUCCCCUCUUUCUCCCCUCCCUCCCUCCUUCCUUCCUUUCCCUUCCCUCUUCCUUUGUCUCUUUGUUUUCCCUCUCCCUUCCCCUAUUUCUUCCCUCCCUCCUUCCUUUCUCUCUCUUUUUCUUUUUUACUUUCCUUCCCUUCUUCUCCCCUCCAAUCUUCCUUCCUUCCCUCCCUCCCUCCCUCCCUCCCUUCCUUUCCACCCUCCUUAAAUUCUUAUUCUGCCCAUCACACUUGUGUGAUUCUGGAUGGUAACAAAUCCCUCCCCCCACCCGCCAAACUGGGUUGCCGUGUCUCUUGUCCAGGAUGCCUCGAGCUGCUCCAGCGCCCCCUAGUGCUUCGGCCCCUCCAAUGGCCCCUCCUGAGACCCCGACUAGCCCUGAAUCGAAUUCCAGUGAAGCCACCACCUCCACCUCCCAGCCGGCGGACAGCACCUCUUCACCAGAUACGUCCCCAGACAAAGCAGAGGGAUCCACGCAGCCCUCCAGCCACGACGGGGACCCCUCCUCCCCGGAAGAGCCCAACGCAGCUGAGCUGCGGAGACGCCGACUUCAAAAACUAGAACUGCCUCCUCCUGCCUCUCAUUGAACGAGCUGUGCUCCCUGCGCUGACCUGAUGGACUUUUUUUCUCCCCCCACCCCUUCUCUUUCCCCCACUGCCCCAAAUAAAAUGGAAAAAACAACAACAAUGGAUUUAAGAAGACCCAAGCCCCCCCCUUCCCCCUCCUCCUCCUCCUCCUCGUGGCAGCAAUCAGAAAUCAGCGGUGGCCUAAAGAAGAAAAAAGCCAGAUGUCUUAACUCGGGCCCGCCAAACGCUGAUACGACCAGUUCCGCAGGACUUUCAGUGGUGGGGACAACAGGCCAUGGUUUAACCCUGGCUUACGCCAUGCAGAGGAAACAGCCGUGUCUUCUAUAAUAGCGGAGAGCGCGCAAGACUUAACCCUGUUGCACCAGGCUAGCAGCUGCCCAUGGUUUCAGACCGGACGGAGCGUGAGCCAAAAACCAGGGUUGGAGGACGAAGGCCUCUGUCUCAUUUGGGGGGAAAGAGAGAGAGGAGAGUGUGUGUGUGUGUGUGAGAGAGAGAGAGAGGCACUGUUUAAAAACCGAGUUGGUUCUUAGCUUUGAGAAUUUCUCUUCACUUUGACAAGGGUAGAGUUUUUUUCUACACCAUAUUUUUGUCCUUUCGAUUUUUCCCCUUCCCUAGGCUGGACAUGAGCUUGUGUGUGUGUGUGUGUGUCUGCGCACACCUGAGUGCGUGGCACACCCGUCAUGUUUUUGGCUGGUCCUUCCUAAGGAAAGCAAGAAAAUGGUCCUUUUUUGCAAGGAUAUGAACGAGCGGAACGGAGAAUUUCUAUUUUUGUAAGGGGUCGGGU
ensembl:lncRNA